rnacentral:rRNA from 1 species
AUUGAACGCUGGCGGCAGGCCUAACACAUGCAAGUCGAACGGUAACAGGAAGAAGCUUGCUUCUUUGCUGACGAGUGGCGGACGGGUGAGUAAUGUCUGGGAAACUGCCUGAUGGAGGGGGAUAACUACUGGAAACGGUAGCUAAUACCGCAUAACGUCGCAAGACCAAAGAGGGGGACCUUCGGGCCUCUUGCCAUCGGAUGUGCCCAGAUGGGAUUAGCUAGUAGGUGGGGUAACGGCUCACCUAGGCGACGAUCCCUAGCUGGUCUGAGAGGAUGACCAGCCACACUGGAACUGAGACCAGGUCCAGACCCCUACGGGAGGCAGCCGUGGGGAAUAUUGCACAAUGGGCGCAAGCCUGAUGCCGCCAUGCCGCGUGUAUGAAGAAGGCCUUCGGGUUUUAAAGUACUUUCAGCGGGGAGGAAGGGAGUAAAGUUAAUACCUUUACUCAUUGACGUUACCCGCAGAAGAAGCACCGGCUAACUCCGUG